UGAACAGUCAGUAUCUAUGACAAACCUUGGCGUAGGAUUAGAGGGGAAGGCAACACUGGAGAUGAAGCCUGCUGCUGAAGUCUGUCAACUUGAAACCAAGAUUGGGUGUCAGAGUUCUGUACCUAAGCCAUCAGAAAACUAAGUGCUGCAAAGUGCAGGAAGAAGCUGGACCCUGAAGAGAGAUGGAGGUGGUUUCAGGUGGGGGAUGCUCCUAUCAUAAAUGCAGAGCAGGAGGCAGAGCCCUGCAGGCUCCACCCGCUUCUUCAGACCGUGCACACUCAUUGGCCUAUGCUUGGAGUUACAACUGUACCAGCUGAAGAUUAACGUGAUCAGCGCCCCGAAAGCAGGAAUCGACUUGGUCUUAUUUUACCAAUGGAUAUUCCUCAGACCCAAGGCCCAACACAACAUUUGGUAAACAGAAGGUGCUUAGGAAACACUGUGGCUCAAUUAACUGAUUAUUUCAUAAAUUGUGUGUUAUGUCAAAAUGCAUCUUACUGGCAUGGUCUAUGCAGAAGACAGUAAUUGUAAAUAAAAACUUUCUUUUUAA